AUCAGCGACCAUACCACAUAGAAAGCACCGGGUUAGUACUUGCAUGGGUGAACGGCUGGGAAUACCCGGUGUUGCUGACU
rnacentral:rRNA from 1 species